UACGUAGGGUGCGAGCGUUAAUCGGAAUUACUGAGCGUAAAGCGUGCGCAGGCGGUCCGCAAAGUCUGAUGUGAAAGCCCCGGGCUCAACCUGGGAACUGCAUUGGAAACUAACGGGCUCGAGUGUGGCAGAGGGGGGUGGAAUUCCACGUGUAGCAGUGAAAUGCGUAGAGAUGUGGAGGAACACCGAUGGCGAAGGCAGCCCCCUGGGCUAACACUGACGCUCAGGCACGAAAGCGUGGGGAGCAAACAGG
rnacentral:rRNA from 1 species